rnacentral:lncRNA from 10 species
CCGCAAUGGACUGCAGAUAUUAAGCAGUGAAGACAGUGAGUUACUCAGCUGAUUUGUUCCGUGGAGAGUCAGGCUACCUGGUCAUCCUACUCAAUAUCCAGGCCUGCCCGAACCUCAAGACUGGGUGGGCACCGUUCAGAGGCCCCCAGCCCCUGCCCUUCUCCUGCGAGGGCCGAGCUCACCGUCAGGUCCCUGGGGCUUGGAACUAAGUAGCCACUUCAUAAACACAUGGAUUUUGGGGUGCCCCGGCCCCCAUAAAGAGAUCAAAUUAUGUCUCCUGCAUUCUGCUGUAAUGAAAUGAAUCAUAAAAUAUGUUUUAGAAGAAAAUUACUAUAAAAAGUUUCAAAAUUGUUAUUUAAAAAGGACCCCGCCAACACGCAUAUUGACCCAAGGAAUCUUCGGGAUGGACUCUGCUUCUGAUCACAUCUUCACCUGCUCGAGGAUCACCUGUGGCACGUCGGGCUCUGAAUGCAAGCCCCAGGACACCCCAUUUCAUGCGUCUGCAUUCUUAACCUCACUGCGCAUUAACAUGCAUCUCAAUGCAUCCAAAAUACCGCACCCCCAUCACAUCAGAGAGCAUUAAAAAUAAGCCAGCUCAAUGCACAAAAAUGAGGGCGACAAUCGGAAACACAAUGAUGUUUCUAAAGAAUGUCCAACCUUAACUGCAGCUUUUCAGUUUCCAAAUUCUCUCUUCUUUAUCUCGUCAUUUCCCUGAAUCACUGGGGCCCAACAACACCAUUCUCAGUCAGAUGUCUGCCUGAGACACAUCAUUUCAAAUUCACCGGUAAAAUGUUUGCAGUUACCAGAAGUGACCUUGUUUUACACACCAACGUGAUGAAUUUAUGUGGGUGGCUUAGUGGAGCUGUUCAUUUCCAGCUUGGUAAUAUUUUAAUUAAUUAAAAGGGAAAAAUCAAUGAACAAAGAUUCUGUUUCCUAUGAUAUUUUAUAUUUUCUACUUUUAUUCAAAAUUAAGGGUUUUAACAUUUUUUUCGGUUAGUCACAAUUUUUGUCUCCCUCCCUCUCCCUGGUUCUCUCUCUUUCUCUCUAUUCCCCCACCCUGCCCCACCUCUGAUUCUCUCUCUCCAUCUUAAAAUGUAUAUCUCCAGGGGCAUUUAGGGUGCAAAAGGUUGCCAAUUGUUCUUAGUGCAGAGAGCAUCUGAAUCCUGUAGUGUGUUGAUUUGAAUAAAGCAAGGAACGCUCUUCCUACCGUGAUGGCCUCUUGCAGGGCUGAACGGGAAAGGGACGCGGCACAGUCUGGCAGUGCGUGGGAGCAAACGAAACCUGCACAAAGGGAGGCGGAAGAAAACAGGGAGGGAUCUGAACACACACUCAAUAGGGAUCCAUUGUGGAGGAAGCCAAGCUAAGGGAGAGGUGCUGCGAUGCUCUCAGGCGUGUGCACAUUUGCAUACGGGCUCGCAGACCCUGACGCGGCGUCGGGCUUGUCACUUUUAAGCACCCAAUUAAUUGACUUGACGGUGCGGUGAGCUUCCUCCUUUCAGAGAGAUACUACUGCGGACUGCGGUUUUAAUUAUAUGAAAUAUUAACCGCGGAUUGAAAUUGGAAACCUGAAGUUAUUGUUUAAUGAUCAUUGAUCAGAUGCAUAGUCCAAAUAAAGAAAAUGAGGGUGGUGGACGUGGGCAUUUGGAUUUGGGUUUUACGUUAUUAUCUCGUUCCUAACUAGGCACUUUUCCUGCGUAUCUGAACUCUUUUGCCUUUUAACUGUGCCUGCAGUUGCUAUAGUGAUGGCAUAAUUUUGUAAUGGUCUAAAAAUGACACUGGCAUAGAUACUGACAGAUAGGAAUUAAUUCACUAACAAGUAAUUAUGUAGCGAAAUGUUGACUGCCAUGCAGAACGUGCACAGUGACACAUUUUCUGUUUUUCAGGGAUGGCAGUAACAUUAGCGUUGGUCAUUAGCGGUAGACAUCUCAGUACAGUGUUGGAUACAGACUUAUAUGCAGACCUAUUUAGUUACCUGUGUGACAGGCUUGUUCAGGACACCAGAAACAGCUGUCCCAGCCUGUAUGAGCCAAAAUAAUUAGGCCUGUCAUCUUCUCGCUCUGAUUUCCCCUUCAACCUGCUCCACAAAAUGCAAAUAUUUGGCUUUCAUUGUCACAUUCACCUUGACAUGGAUAUUGCUUUGGUGCAUAACUGGAUGAGAUGACUCAGAAUUUGCAUUGUUCAUUCUAAUAAAUUUGCUUCCCCUCCAUUGCAUGGCAGGACCCAUCAGAUAAAGUCUCCCGGAGUGUCAUCAAUCACCAGCCUUGACAGACGGCUUUUGCCUUCAUUUGUUACAUACGAGAACAUGCUUAAUUAUUUGUCCUGUAAUUAGUUGGGAAAAUGUCAGGAAAUGUCAACUCUCUGUUCGCUGUGGAAGGACUCGGCUUGAAAGCCGGGAUGACUGAAGUGUCAUUAAUGCCACCUAACUAGACGAGGAUCAGCUGGGGAGAAGGGAGAGCUUCUAAAAAAGUAAUCACGGUGAGUUAGGGGAAACGGAAAAUCAGCCCCCAUAACAAGAUGUGAGUCCUAUUAGCAAACAGUUGUGUUUUUUAUCUGCUAGUCUUCACAAUAAAAUGUGGGAGAGCAAACUGAAGAACAAAUAUGUUGGAUUGAUAUAAUUUCUGUCACAUUCUCCUUGUCAUCUCAUAAGCCAAUCAUGCUUAAUGUAUUACUAUAGGGGGCACCUAAUAUUUAAUUUGCAGAUUUAAAGCUCAUCUUACCAUUCGAUCGCACAGUGCAAAAUUCAGUGAAUAUGCAAAGGUGAACAGUUUUGCAUUCAUCUAAUGAUGUGAUGAAUUGAAUAUGUAAAAUUAAAAUUGUCAUUCUGCUGUUAGAACCCUUUACUAAUAAAAGCAAAUUGCUGUUAAUCAUUACUUGGCAAAAGAAGACAAAAACAAAAAAAUAUGUAUAUGUAAAAAGAUGCACUGAGGAUGAAAAACAGGCAGGUCGACUUCAGGCAUAGAGUAAGUUCGCUUCCAUAGAUGUCUUGCCCAUGUCGGUAAUGCUAAGAAGAGCUCGUUGUUAAUUUCAGCAAUGGGCUGGAAGACCUUCAGUGUAUUUCCUAGCUAACUAAGAGCGAAACAAACUCAUUGGGAAGAAGAACAAUUUUAUCACAUGACAGACAACUUCACUGUGAAAUGGAUUCACCUGGGUUUUUAAUUGUUGUGCCACCAGUGCUCCGAUAUCCAAGUGGCGUGUGCACGGUUGCAUUUUGUGAACGAUGCUCCUUCAUCGUUGUGUUCUGGAUGCCGCAUUUGUUCAUAAAAUGCCCUUCGCAAAUUCUGCAUCACAGGUAUCGGCUACUUUCUGUAAUGUUGUCACAAUAAUGUGUUCACAUGAGAUCUUUCUUUGCUUAAUUACUUCUACCAUUUUGUGGCUCAAGAACAAGGAAAUUAUUGUUAGGUCUCUUAACAAAGAGUAAUUAGGGGUGACAUUCUGUAGUUUAACAAUUCACAACUUGUCACAGGUGUAGCUGAGCUGAUUAUCAGAUAAAUAAAAUAAAGUAAACCGUUUAUUCUAUGAGGAGUAUUGCAGUGGUUCCAUGAACAAAAACUACGUUUGAGGCCGAGGCCGUCCCAACUCACAGCACCUUCAGAAUACAUGAAAAUUUCGAUUUGCCUGCGGGCCUUGGAAACUGAGUUUACGUUGUCCCUCCUGGUAGAUCAGACUUCAGGAAAUCAGUUAUUUUAUCUUUCAAAAUGUGCUAAGUGAAUGAAGCGAGUCGUUGGAAGCUGGAUGACGCAGACAUUUAAUGACCAUUCAUUCUUAAUAUUCAGAUUUUUGAGAAAGAUAAAACUGUAUCCACAAUUAUUUUGACAGCACAGUCUUUCAAAGCUUAUUCUGAUUUAAUCUUUGUCCCUAAAAUACAUCCACGUAACAUACUAUUAUUAGUUUUCCUAAGGGGGUGAAGUCCUUCAUGUCCACAGC